rnacentral:rRNA from 1 species
GACGAACGCUGGCGGCGUGCCUAACACAUGUAAGUCGAGCGGGGAGAGAUUUUCGGAUUUCUCUUUAGCGGCGGACGGGUGAGUAACACGUGGGUAACCUGCCUCAAAGAGGGGGAUAGCCUUCCGAAAGGAAGAUUAAUACCGCAUAAUAUCAGGAAGCUGCAUGGCAUUCUGAUUAAAGGAGCAAUCCGCUUUGAGAUGGACCCGCGGCGCAUUAGCUAGUUGGUGAGGUAACGGCCCACCAAGGCGACGAUGCGUAGCCGACCUGAGAGGGUGAUCGGCCACAUUGGAACUGAGACACGGUCCAGACUCCUACGGGAGGCAGCAGUGGGGAAUAUUGCACAAUGGGGGAAACCCUGAUGCAGCAACGCCGCGUGAGUGAUGAAGGCCUUCGGGUCGUAAAGCUCUUUGAUCAGGGACGAUAAUGACGGUACCUGAAAAACAAGCCACGGCUAACUACGUGCCAGCCGCCGCAGUAAUAC